rnacentral:lncRNA from 1 species
GAGUAUCUGAUAUUUUUGAUGUUGAACAGAAUUUAGAAAAUUUCUAGAUCAAAAUUGAUCAGUGAUUGCCGGUUCAUGACCAAAGUUUAGGGCCUGUUUGGAUACACAGUAAAAUAUCUCCACGAAAUUUAUAAACUGUGGUUUUGGUCUAGAUAAAAUAGAGAAUCCUGCAACUCUAAAAAAUUCCACGGAUUCAAUUUUUAAACUAUUUGGAUACGCAUUGUACAAUUUCACAGGAUUUUUCUAAAUUUUAAGAUUAAAAGUUAAAAUGUAAAAUUUCAAAAAAAAUUUAAAAUUUAAAAUUUGAUAUGUGAAAUGUGAAAUUUUGAAUUUUGAAUUUUAAAUUUUAAAUUUUAAAUUUAAAAAAAAUAAAUUUAAAAUUUAAAGUUUAAAAUUUGAAAUUUAAAAUUUAAAGUUUAAACUUUGAAAUUUAAAAUUAAAAUUUGAAAUUUAAAAUUUAAAAUUUAAAAUUUAAAGUUUAAAAAAUAAAUUUAAAAUUUAAAGUUUAAAAUUUGAAAUUUGAACUAUGAGAUUUGAAAUUUAAAGUUUGAAAUUUAAAAUUUAAAAUUUAAAAUUUAAAAUUUAAAAUUUAAAAUUUAAAAUUUAAAAUUUUAAUUUAAAAUUUUA